UGAUCCUGGCUCAGAACGUACGCUGGCGGCACGCCUAACACAUGCAAGUCGAACGAAGUAGCAAUACUUAGUGGCAGACGGGUGAGUAACAUGUAGGUAUCUGCCCUUUGGCCUGGAAUAACACGAGGAAACUUGUGCUAAUACCGGAUAAGUCUUUACGGAGAAAGCUUUAUGCACCAUUGGAUGAGCCUGCACUUGAUUAGUUUGUUGGUGGGGUAAUGGCCUACCAAGACUGUGAUCAAUAGCUGAUUUGAGAGGAUGAUCAGCCACAUUGGGACUGAGACACGGCCCAAACUCCUACGGGAGGCAGCAGUGGGGAAUCUUGCACAAUGGAGGAAACUCUGAUGCAGCGAUGCCGCGUGAGUGAAGAAGGCCCUUGGGUUGUAAAGCUCUUUCGUCGGGGAAGAAAAUGACUGUACCCGAAUAAGAAGGUCCGGCUAACUUCGUGCCAGCAGCCGCGGUAAUACGAAGGGACCUAGCGUAGUUCGGAAUUACUGGGCUUAAAGAGUUCGUAGGUGGUUGAAAUAGUUGGUGGUGAAAUCCCAGAGCUUAACUCUGGAACUGCCAUCAAAACUUUUCAGCUAGAGUAUGAUAGAGGAAAGCAGAAUUUCUAGUGUAGAGGUGAAAUUCGUAGAUAUUAGAAAGAAUACCAAUUGCGAAGGCAGCUUUCUGGAUCAUUACUGACACUGAGGAACGAAAGCAUGGGUAGCGAAGAGGAUUAGAUACCCUCGUAGU
rnacentral:rRNA from 1 species